rnacentral:rRNA from 1 species
GACAGAGGUGGCGAGCGUUGUUCGGAUUUAUUGGGCGUAAAGCGAACGCAGGUGGUUUGGUAAGUCAGGGGUGAAAGUCCGCAGCUUAACUGCGGCACUGCCUUUGAUACUGCCUUUCUUGAGUGCAUGAGGGGGAAGCGGAAUUCCGAGUGUAGAGGUGAAAUUCGUAGAUAUUCGGAGGAACACCGGUGGCGAAGGCGGCUUCCUGGCAUGUAACUGACACUCAUGUUCGAAAGCGUGGGUAGCAAAC